rnacentral:rRNA from 1 species
GAGACAGCAGUAGCCGCGGUAAUACGAAGGGUGCAAGCGUUACUCGGAAUUACUGGGCGUAAAGCGUGCGUAGGUGGUGGUUUAAGUCCGUUGUGAAAGCCCUGGGCUCAACCUGGGAAUUGCAGUGGAUACUGGGUCACUAGAGUGUGGUAGAGGAUAGUGGAAUUUCCGGUGUAGCAGUGAAAUGCGUAGAGAUCGGAAGGAACAUCUGUGGCGAAGGCGACUAUCUGGGCCAACACUGACACUGAGGCACGAAAGCGUGGGGAGCAAACAGGAUUAGAUACCCCAGUAGCCCUGUCUCUUAUACA